AAAGAAGUUUGGAACAUUUGUUGUCUCCGUUUCUUUAGAAUAGCGAUUUUAUUGUGGUUUGUCCACUGAUAUAAGGAGCAUAUGAUGUUUUACUAAUUUAAUUGAUAAAAUAAUAAUAAAAAGAUGUCCAUGUACUAAGAAAGAUAGUUUUGAAUACAUUAAUAAAAAUGUAGAAUGUGGUUAGAAAUUUUAAUACAACAUUAAAGAUUAUAAGCUUUAGUAUAUAAAGCAUUUACCGAAAAAACUGAAUAUUUUGUAGAGCUUUUUUUUUUUGUUCACCGAAUAUUUUGUAGAGGUUAUUAUAUAGAUUUUGAGAAUUUUUUUUUUAAAUGAUAAUAUUGGUUUAAUGCAUAGUUAUAUCAUGAACUAACAUAUGAUGAUGGUCAGAGAGGUUUUGAACCUUUGUUGUCUCCGUCUCUCUAGAAUAGUGAUUUUACUGUGGUUUGUCCACUAAUUUAGGAAGCAUAUAAAAUUUUACUAAAUUAAUUGAUAAAAAAAUAGAACGAUGCUCUUGUGCCAUGAAUGAUAGAAAUAUUAAAAUAAUGAAAGUGACAAUGAUAAAUUAAUUUUGGAAAAGCACAAAAAAAACCAAAAAAUCCUAUAACCUUAUAAGAGUC
rnacentral:lncRNA from 1 species